UACGUAGGACGCAAGCGUUGUCCGGAAUUAUUGGGCGUAAAGAGCUCGUAGGCGGCUUGUCACGUCGGGUGUGAAAGCCCGGGGCUUAACCCCGGGUCUGCAUUCGAUACGGGCUAGCUAGAGUGUGGUAGGGGAGAUCGGAAUUCCUGGUGUAGCGGUGAAAUGCGCAGAUAUCAGGAGGAACACCGGUGGCGAAGGCGGAUCUCUGGGCCAUUACUGACGCUGAGGAGCGAAAGCGUGGGGAGCGAACAGG
rnacentral:rRNA from 1 species